rnacentral:ncRNA from 1 species
CCACGCCAUCGCGGGAGCUCGGACCAACCGGGCUGAGAGGGCGGCAUGGGGUGUCGGCGGCAAGCCGGCGCACACCCCGGGGCCACCGACCGCUUGAACCUGUCCGGGUAAUGCCGGCGUAGGGAGAGCAGGUAGAGCCAUGUC